AGAAGUCCCCUAUUGUGACCGCGGAUCCCUGCUUGGAGGCUACGACACGGACCGUCCUUCUGCUGUCCACACAGUCCAGGAGGAAAAUCAAGAGAGGAUACAACAAUGGAGAAAAGAACAACAGAGGGUAGGGGAUUGGACAUCAAGAGGAAAGAUAGUGACAAUACCACUGACAGUAAUUGUCAGUAAGAAAUCACAAUGCACAGAACCAAACAAAAGAUAAAUGCAGGGGCCGAAAAUGAAAAGCAGACAAAGGACAUAGAGGAAUUAGCUGCUGGGAGGAAAGGAACUGUCAGGCAACGGUGGCCUUUCCCUACUACUCCUGCAGUUGCCUUUGCCUGCACUGGCUCCUUGAGAGGCAGCACCUCCUACCUGUGACUGACAAGGGGCUGCUAUUCCUCCAUGGCUUGUUAUGUGACUAUUCGAUGUAAUCCUCCCCCCACCACUGCACCGCGUCGCCAAGGACUUUCACACACAGGCUCCAGGAAAAGACACAAUCGGCACCCCAUGGAAUCCAAAAAGUUAUUACUCUUUGUGGUAGGCAAACCCUUACCUGUUAC